AUAGAGGAUAAUCAAGGUAAUAUGUUAAUUUAAAAUUAAAAAAAAAGCGUCAUAUUCAAGGAAUUGCAUGCAAAUGAUAUUACCAAUUGUUUCGGCAAAUUAACUGAGGGAUAAUACAAAUUUUAAAAAAUAAUAAUAAAAUUAAAAAAAGACAUUUAAAAUUAUUAAUUACAUAAUUAAAAAUAAUUAAAUAAAAGGAAAACAG
rnacentral:lncRNA from 1 species